rnacentral:rRNA from 1 species
CCCUUAGAUGUUCUGGGCCGCACGCGUGCUACACUGAGUGGAUCAGCGGGUCAGGUUGCGCGAAAGUGUUUCCUAAUCUUUAAAUCCGCUCGUGAUGGGGAUUGACGGUUGCAAUUUUCCGUCAUGAACGAGGAAUACCUUGUAAGCGCGGGUCAUCAUCCCGCGCUGAAUACGUCCCUGCCCUUUGUACACACCGCCCGUCGCUCCUACCGAUUGAGUGGUCCGGUGAGGCUUUGGGAUCUGAGCGGAAAGAGCGUUUCGCUGUUUCUGCCCGGAAAACUCAGUCGAACCUUAUCAUUUAGAGGAAGGAGUAGUCGUAACA